rnacentral:lncRNA from 7 species
AGAUCUGGAUCUAGCAGUCAGGAAAGAGGCGCUAAGGAGAGAACAGGCUGGAUUGAGGAACAUUUUGAGAGAGACUGUUCUCACAAGAUUUGCAGCUCAACUUUCUGAUGAAAGGGAUUUGAAUAAACAUGAACAAAAGUCACCAAAACCUUUUGUUCUAUGACUUCUCAGGUUAACACACUUGCACUUCAGCCUGAAGACGGAAGUUCAAGAAAUUUGAAACUGUCCAUUCUUUGUGAAGCUCCAACAUGUAGAGCUCCAACAGGCAGAGCUUUUCAAGACUUGCCUAUCUCCAUCAAUUACAGCACAAAAAACAGUUACACAUCAGCUUUGAGAAACAGACCAAGGGCAGCAUGUUGAGUCUAUUGUUUCUACUUGUAACCAGAACAUAUAAUCUCCUUAAUAGUUUUGUCCAGCAUUUAUAAUUUUAUUAUUUUAAAGAACUAGAUGUUCCAAAGUAUCCUUUUAAUUGCACAGAAACAUUUUGCUUUACAUGUUCUUUGAAUUCAUCUACAGUUUGCAGUAAUUUAUUUUUGUGUCAAGAUUGUCCUUGUAUUUAAUAACUUCUAGUUACUUUUAGUAAUCUAAUUUUCUUAGUAAUAACAUGUCCAUUCACGUCCAUUUUCACUUUUAAAUGCCAGAAAAAGCAGUCUCUUUUAUUCUCCUCAUAAAAUGAGAUUUCCAUUCUGUCAGUUAUCUUAACUGCUCUGUCUUCAGUUGUUCCUGAAUAUAGGCAAUUGCUUUUGCUUUUUCACACAGAUUGCAAAUUAAGUCUCAGAAGCUGUGAUCAUAUCGCUUUAAGGCUUCUGCUUGAGAUACCUGAUCAGAUAUAUGUUGGGAUCACAUUCAAAUUUUUCACUGUUUCACACACCGGUAAUACAUAGUCAUGCUGUGAUUGACUUUAAUGUACGGGACUGAAUCCUUCUUAUCCAUUUACAAUGAAUUAUUCUCUGUACCAUAAUUGUUCUUAUCUAAUAAAUAAAAUUCU